UACGUAGGGGGCAAGCGUUGUCCGGAAUCAUUGGGCGUAAAGCGCGUGUAGGCGGCUCGGUAAGUCUGCUGUGAAAGUCCAGGGCUCAACCCUGGGAUGCCGGUGGAUACUGUCGAGCUCGAGUCCGGAAGAGGCGAGUGGAAUUCCUGGUGUAGCGGUGAAAUGCGCAGAUAUCAGGAGGAACACCAAUGGCGAAGGCAGCUCGCUGGGACGUGACUGACGCUGAGACGUGAAAGCGUGGGGAGCAAACAGG
rnacentral:rRNA from 1 species